CACACUCAAACCCUGACUCAGCCAGCUCGUUACCCCAGCUGACUGACAGCUUCUCGAAGCCUGAGCUGCUACAACAGUAAAAUCAAAAUAAGGCAGUUCUCAGAAGCUUUAAUGAUGGGAGUCUCAUGCCUUCUGUUAACAUCCGUGAAACUGUGAAACCUUCCAUGGGAAGAUUUCAAGAAAAGUGACAUUUUAUCCAGACCAAUAAAUAUAACGCAGAUGUGAUUGCUGGCUCUGCUGGAUCUAGUUCAUACCUCACAGGACAGUUUGAGAACAGAAGCGGAGUUCUAUAGAUGGCAGUAAACUUAACAAAUAUGUAUGAAAAACCAAAG